rnacentral:lncRNA from 1 species
GAAAAACGGAAUGGAAUAAAAGAUUGAUUACUUGUUAAUAUAUUUCAAUCAUUAAACAGUAGAUAUUUGAAACAUUAAAAGCAAUAAAAAUCAUGUUUGCUAACAUUACAAACGGACUGUCAAAAAAUGAUGGGUACCAGUAAUGACGCACUGUAAACAAACCAGUAAAAAACACUUGCUCGUACCUGAUAAUCGAAAAAUUGCUUCAAUCUGGAUUCUUUAAAAAUAAC